UACGGAGGGUGCAAGCGUUAAUCGGAAUUACUGGGCGUAAAGCGCACGCAGGCGGCUUGUUAAGUCAGAUGUGAAAUCCCCGGGCUCAACCUUGGAACUGCAUCUAAUACUAGCAAGCUUGAGUCUCGUAGAGGGGGGUAGAAUUCCAGGUGUAGCGGUGAAAUGCGUAGAGAUCUGAAGGAAUACCGGUGGCGAAGGCGGCCCCCUGGACGAAGACUGACGCUGAGGUGCGAAAGCUUGGGGAGCAAACGGG
rnacentral:rRNA from 1 species